GGCUCAGAUUGAACGCUGGCGGCAUGCCUUACACAUGCAAGUCGAACGGCAGCGGACCUUCGGGUGCCGGCGAGUGGCGAACGGGUGAGUAAUAUAUCGGAACGUACCUUUCAGUGGGGGAUAACGUAGCGAAAGUUACGCUAAUACCGCAUAUUCUGUGAGCAGGAAAGCAGGGGAUCGCAAGACCUUGCGCUGAUUGAGCGGCCGAUAUCAGAUUAGCUAGUUGGUGAGGUAAAGGCUCACCAAGGCGACGAUCUGUAGCGGGUCUGAGAGGAUGAUCCGCCACACUGGAACUGAGACACGGUCCAGACUCCUACGGGAGGCAGCAGUGGGGAAUUUUGGACAAUGGGCGCAAGCCUGAUCCAGCCAUGCCGCGUGAGUGAAGAAGGCCUUCGGGUUGUAAAGCUCUUUCGGCCGGGAAGAAAUCGCGCGGGUUAAUACCCUGUGUGGAUGACGGUACCGGAAUAAGAAGCACCGGCUAACUACGUG
rnacentral:rRNA from 1 species